GAUGAACGCUGGCGGCGUGCUUAACACAUGCAAGUCGAACGAAGAUGCCGGAGUGCUUGCACUUUGGCAGACUGAGUGGCGGACGGGUGAGUAACGCGUGGGUAACCUGCCUUAUACAGGGGGAUAACAGUUGGAAACGACUGCUAAUACCGCAUAAGCGCACGGUAUCGCAUGAUACAGUGUGAAAAACUCCGGUGGUAUAAGAUGGACCCGCGUCUGAUUAGCUUGUUGGUGAGGUAACGGCCCACCAAGGCGACGAUCAGUAGCCGGCCUGAGAGGGUGAACGGCCACAUUGGGACUGAGACACGGCCCAAACUCCUACGGGAGGCAGCAGUGGGAAUAUUGCACAAUGGGGGAAACCCUGAUGCAGCGACGCCGCGUGAGUGAUGAAGUAUUCGGUAUGUAAAACUCUAUCAGCAGGGAAGAUAAUGACGGUACCUGACUAAGAAGCACCGGCUAAAANACGUGCCAGCAG
rnacentral:rRNA from 1 species